UUACGGGAGGCAGCAGUGGGGAAUAUUGGACAAUGGGCGAAAGCCUGAUCCAGCAAUGCCGCGUGAGUGAUGAAGGCCUUAGGGUUGUAAAGCUCUUUUACCAGGGAUGAUAAUGACAGUACCUGGAGAAUAAGCUCCGGCUAACUCCGUGCCAGCAGCCGCGGUAAUACGGAGGGAGCUAGCGUUGUUCGGAAUUACUGGGCGUAAAGCGCACGUAGGCGGCUUUUUAAGUCAGGGGUGAAAUCCCGGGGCUCAACCCCGGAACUGCCCUUGAAACUGGGAAGCUAGAAUCUUGGAGAGGCGAGUGGAAUUCCGAGUGUAGAGGUGAAAUUCGUAGAUAUUCGGAAGAACACCAGUGGCGAAGGCGACUCGCUGGACAAGUAUUGACGCUGAGGUGCGAAAGCGUGGGGAGCAAACAGGAUUAGAUACCCCAGUA
rnacentral:rRNA from 1 species